GACGAAUUUAGGGCAUCGCUCUUCCGCGUCUAUAAAUACCGUUGUUUCACCGAAGAGCCGCACUCGCCUCGCAGAUCAGCGGCGGAAUUGGCGAAAGCGUCAAUUGAAAACUUUCGUUCUUCCGAGGGUAAAUACGCUGCGGAAAAUUCAUGGAGACCUGAACUGAGGAGACCAAUCUUGUAUGUUCUUUUCGUGCAUUACCAACUUCUAUUUAAAUGCAGAUGACUGUCUUUUUGUUUUCCAUCUUUCUUCAAUCAUCUUACCAUACUGCAGUGUCUAGUGAAUAUUUUCAUUGUUUUUUAAUCGACUGUUGUAGUAAUGUGAUUUGAUCUAUUCCGGUUCAAUCAAUCAUGGGGUCUCUCCAUAUCCAGUCAACUGAUGAAUGCCAUAUUAGGGAGAACACAAACUAAGUUUAGGUUUAGCCUUGUAAAUAGAUACGACAAUCUACCAGUCGAUCUCAAAUGCCCAAAUGCAAACCCAAUCUUGGUUUUAUUUGGUUUGAGUUGUCUAUAAAAAUAGAGAAGACUGUGUCGAUUUGAAUGCCCAUAGGAAAGGAGAUAGAAAACAAGCUGAUCACAUUAGCAUGGUGUGGAGUCGUGCAUUUGAGGAUGAUGCACGAAAGCUCUAUUAAGAAAUAAUGGAGGAGGAGGAGGCUAUUGGUUUGGAGGGAAGCACAAGUUGAGGGAGCAUGAAGAAACAUACAUGAAACUUGUGCUCCACUUUUUCAUGCACUAAUGCAACUUAGAUGAUGGAUUGCUCAGUCUCAGCAUGUUUACUUAAGAUUAAUACUAAAUUGAGGUCAGGUUGGGUGAUGACUACUUGGGUGAUUGGAAUUCUAUCCACAAAAUGGUUCUUUUUCUGGUUCUGGAUCGUUGCAGAAGCUACAUGGUUCAAUUAUGAUUAUCUUUUAUUUGAUUGUGCAUUUGUUUCAAUUUUUUCUUCUCCAAGGAUGAUCAGAACUAUAAUUUUCCUCUGAGGUCAUGUACAAUGUGGAAGAUUCAUGGAGACCUGAACUGAGGAGUAAAACUGUUGUUUUUAUGUUUUAAUGAAUCCUUGUGAAGAUGAUACGAUUAAAGUAGUGGCCUGACAUCAUCUGAUUCUCUCUGUCUUUUGAUUCUGGGGGAUUCCUUCCUUCCAUCUUUGCCUUUGGAAAGUAUCUCAUUUGAUUUAGAAAGAUUAGAAGAUUGAUGGAGACCUGAACUGAGGAGUAAAACUGUUGUUUUUAUGUUUCAAUGAAUCCUUGUAAAGAUGAUACGAUUAAAGUAGUGGCCUGACAUCAUCUGAUUCUCUCUAUCUUUUGAUUCUGGGGGAUUCCUUCCUUCCAUCUUGCCUUUGGAAAGUAUCUCAUUUGAUUUAGAAAGAUUAGAAGAUUGAUGGAGACCUGAACUGAGGAGUAACUGUUGUUUUUAUGUUUUAAUUGAAUCCCUGUGAAGAUGAUAUGAUUAAAGUAGUGGCCUGACAUCAUCUGAUUCUCUCUAUCUUUUAAUUCUGGGGGAUUCGUUCCUUCCAUCUUUGCCUUUGGAAAGUAUCUCAUUUGAUUUAGAAAGAUUAGAAGAUUGAUGGAGACCUGAACUGAGGAGUAACUGUUGUUGUUAUGUUUUAAUUGAAUCCCUGUGAAGAUGAUAUGAUUAAAGUAGUGGCCUGACAUCAUUUGAUUCUCUCUAUCUUUUGAUUCUGGGGGAUUCCUUCCUUCCAUCUUUGCCUUUGGAAAGUAUCUCAUUUGAUUUAGAAAGAUUAAUUGUGAGAUCUGUCUUGUAAACUUCUGACAUGCAAUUCUGACAGUUGUAGGUUUAGGGAUGCUUUCCAUUCCAUUGUAAUAUUUGUUGUCAAAGAGUCUGCUCCUCUCUUUUUGGAAGAUAGAUAGAUCACGAAGGUUGUUUCUGCAUUAGUUUUCUCUUAAACAGUGCUCCCAAUGAUUGAACAGUCUAAAUAGUUUCAGCCUUGCCUGAGUUAUCACUCGAUGCUGAAUUCUUAUACAUGUUCUGAGGGAUCUACCUCUUGUUUACACUUCUCGGACUGGUCAUUUUUUAUGUAUGUUUCUACUUUUAGGGUAUUAUCAGGAAAUGAUGACUGUACGAAGGUUGAUGGUGAUAACCUAUUGAUUUGAUCUCUGCUUUUUUAUCACGUAUAUAUGUCAAAUUUAGAUGAAGGUAUAUUAUUACAUGAGACAUUUACUUUCA